rnacentral:lncRNA from 1 species
CCCCGGCUGGACCCCCCGCCCGCCUGCCGCCGCCGCCCGUGGGCGCCCCCAGGUCCUGCGGCCCCCAGCCCCCGCCACCCCGGCGCCAGCCCCUCUCACCCUUUCAUUCUCUGCCCGGGGCCUGACGCGGGCCGGCGGAUCCCCGGCCUCACGUAAGCGCGCUCGCCGCCCGCCCUGCCUGCGCGGCCCUGCCCGCCGCCCUACGGGAGCCCGGGGAUGUGGGCCGGGCCUGGGGCCGCCUCUGCUUACCUUUCAGCUGCUUUUUUUUUUUUCUCCUUCCCCCCUUUUCCCUCGGCCGGGCUGACAGAUCAGAGUGAGAGGCGCUGGCAAUGGACUAGGAAGCUCGGCUGCCGCUGCUACUGCUCCCCCCUGGGCUCCGGCGAGAGCCUUUCCCUGUCAAGCAAGAGGGGCUAAUAAUGAUUCUUCUCCGUUGCGGAUCGGAUCCAAGUUCUGUGUCUGGUGGUCAGUUUAUAAAUUUGUACUUCAAGAGACUUCAUAGCCACUGUAUCUUAUAUUGGUCUAUGGAUAUGUUUUUACAUGCAUAUUUGCAAGUCGCUUUCUAUAUAAAAAUUUGUAUUAUAUAUUCCACUCAAAACUGAGAUUGCCAAAAGACAAUUGUUAAGGGAUGUCUUUUGUCUCCUUGUCUCAAAGCUAUGUAAAUAAAACCUGACUGUCCAGAAAGGCAUGAUCCAGCUGUUUAUUUUUCACAGUGCCAAUAAAGGCAGAGAUCACUGAGAGGUUAAAUACAAUUUAAGUAUAACUGAGCACAUUUCUGAGAAUAAUCCUCAUUCUGUUAUGGUCUACCCAUGAAGAAAGGUUACUGUAAAACUGGAAAUAGACUUGAAAAGACAGCUUUAGAUUUUCUUUAAAAUUGCUUAUUGAGGAAAUGUGAUUAUUCUACCCAGAUAUUUGAUUUUCUCAUUAGAUUCUUUAGGGGUUAGAUCUUUGGCGCAUCGCACAUGUUGCUGUCCACUUUCUGUGUCACAGAGUGGAAAAAUGUGUGUUUUUGUUAGAGUUGAUAUGUUGUUGGUUCUUAACUUCCAGUGUGCUGCCAGCUGUAUAAAUCACUUUUAAUAUAUUGCAGUGGUUGUCACAGAUCUACUUUUUUUAAAUGAGCACAGCUUAGUGGAUAAAUGGGAUCAAAGUUACCCAAAGCUGAGGUAGCACCGAGAUCAGAGAAGGGUACC